rnacentral:misc_RNA from 1 species
UCACGCAGCAGUGUCGCAAAUCC